rnacentral:rRNA from 1 species
UACGUAGGGUGCGAGCGUUAAUCGGAAUUACUGGGCGUAAAGCGUGCGCAGGUGGUUGUGUAAGCCAGAUGUGAAAUCCCCGGGCUUAACCUGGGAAUGGCAUUUGGGACUGCACGGCUAGAGUGUGGCAGAGGGGGGUGGAAUUCCACGUGUAGCAGUGAAAUGCGUAGAGAUGUGGAGGAACACCGAUGGCGAAGGCAGCCCCCUGGGCUAACACUGACGCUCAUGCACGAAAGCGUGGGGAGCAAACAGG